rnacentral:lncRNA from 1 species
AGAAAUGACCAUGGUGCGUUUGCCUCAUUCUGAGAAAAAGGCACUUGGAUGCUGAAAUCUUCUGCAGCUGUUCUGUGACCAUGAGGAAGCACAUAUGAGGAAACCCUAAGAGAAUUUCAGAAUGCCUGCUAUAACAUGCUAAAACUACUGAACCAGUGCCAGCUGUCUUCCUCAAGGCUCCUUGCUAUGUCAGAAGAGUAAAUCAAUAUUUACUAAGUCAACCUAUGUGUUACUUUUAGUUGGAAGCCUUUCCUAACUGAUGCCACAUGUAUAAAUAAUUUAGAAAGGUUUUUGAAAGUUGAGCAUUAUGUUACAAAAUAAAAUACUUAGCAAUAAAGACAAAAUACAAUUCUCUUCAGGAACUUUAUGGUAAACAUUUUAUAUGAUAAAGAAGUAAGCAUCAAGAAACUUUGUAAUAUUUGUCCAAGGUCUGAGAUCAAUUGCACUGGCAUAUUUCUUACUGGUUCUUGGUGUUCUUUUUCUCACAUGUAAAAUAAUAGAUUGCAUUACUUCUGAGUUCCACUGCAUGUCUAAACUUCUGACUAUAUUAGAACAAAGUGUAUUUUAAAUCUAUGGCUUUAUAAUACUACCUGUUGAAUAUUUGAAAAUUCAUAUUCCUUGGAUACUUUUUGUAUGAAAGAAGUCAUUGCAUUUUACUGUUCAUACUUAGGAUUCUAUACAUUCCAUAUUGAAAAUAAUGGGCUAUGAGUUCGAGUCCUUUGAUGUACCAUCAUCCACUCUAAAAAUAUAAUUUAUUACAUACUGAAAUUAGCAUAAAAUGAUAUUUGGAAACAUCUUUUAGGAAGAAUUUUCACCAGAACACUCUAUACGAUAUCAUUAAUUCCUCCUCCUUUUGCUAGUACAAAAUUCAGGCAAAAUAAUUCCACUGAUAUGAAGAUAUGUCUGACACAUUAGGUUUUCUAGCCCUUUGAUGACAUGUCUGUGCAAUUGUAUGAAAUUGGCAUAAAGAAGAUUCAUUGAUAUCAAGGAAAAUGUUCUCAAAUCGCUUUGGGGAGGCAAUAAAGUAUAACAAAUAAAAUGUUGCUAUACUAUUUAAAAGAAUAGGAACAAAUGUGAAUUAAAUGGGAAUUGACCA